GACGUAGGGCGCGAGCGUUGUCCGGAUUUAUUGGGCGUAAAGAGCUCGUAGGCGGCUUGUCGCGUCGUCCGUGAAAACUUGGGGCUCAACCCCAAGCUUGCGGUCGAUACGGGCAGGCUAGAGUUCGGUAGGGGAGACUGGAAUUCCUGGUGUAGCGGUGAAAUGCGCAGAUAUCAGGAGGAACACCGGUGGCGAAGGCGGGUCUCUGGGCCGAUACUGACGCUGAGGAGCGAAAGCGUGGUGAGCGAACAGG
rnacentral:rRNA from 1 species